ensembl:lncRNA
AUUUAAUGGCUGGCAGUGGAGGUGAGGGGAUCUUGCUGGUGGUACCUGCCUAUUUGAGUCCUUCUAAAGGAUCACGAGAACAGAGGUGGGCAGCCUUGGAAAGCGGGUGACCUGAAAUUUCCAUGCUCUUGCUCCUGAAUUUGGGGCACGGUGAUGUAUAUCUGCAGUUCAGCAGAAGUAGUUGAAAGUGGUGCCGUGGCCAUCAGCUCCUGAUCUCCCAUUGCCAUUUACCUGCAGGCCGUGCCACCGGGGUGGUGACAUUGAUCUUUUGCUACCACCCUGGGCAUGGCAGCAAUGCCAAAGUUCACACGGGCUGUCCUAGGGGUGCAAAUGUGGUAGUGCAAAUGGGUUAGGAGGUAUCUCCUAGCACAAACCACCUGCAUCAGCUCUGCUCAGCCUUUCCCAGAGAGCCAGUCUUCUUUUCUAUGUAAUGUAGUCCUGUGUUAACAAGAGGGAGAGGACUGUAAAUAAACAGCACAUGAAGCGGGGAAGGGAGGUAUGGAGAACAGUGGCAUCUAAACACGGGGUGCUGUUGAUGGAAAGAGUAAUGUGGGAGCACUUAGCAUGCAGCUUUAAGUUCUUGUGUUGGAGAAUUUGUUGUACAAAAGGCUCAAAGCGGUUUUCUCCCUGUUCUUGUCAUGGUUGGAACCUGUUUCUUCUGCAAAUAAACAGCGUUUCUCCCAGCUCAUCCCUCACUGAAUGGGGGAGCAGGCAGAGACGAAUGAAUCCUAUUCACACUGCCCAUUUGGUGUUUGCUCAUUGCUCUAAGCUCCUUUGUGAUCUCUCUCAAAAUAUUUUCAUCUGCUUGUUUGGGGAGAAACUUUUCUCCAGGCAGUAAUGCAUAAUGCAGUAAUACAGGACACUGCAGCAAAUUUCAUCUUGUUCAAAAACAAGAUGCAAGGUGGAUUUGGUCUCCCAUUUGAAUUCCCAUUUAAUUGCCUAAACAAUAAUGCUGUUUUCGCUACUAUGAAAGGAAACUCAAUACGUUGCACAUAAUGAUCUUUUUCUGUGGUCUGUCUAUUCUCUGCAUUCUAAUUUUCAGUGUUGACUUCCAGACACAUCUAAUGUUUCAUAAAAGGCAAUGAUCCAUCUCAAAUUCCUUGGGACAUGUCUCAUUUUCUGAAAGAUGUCUGUUGUUUACUGCUGGCUGACAAAAUAAAACCUCCUUUCUUGCUGUU